rnacentral:misc_RNA from 1 species
UGCAGAUUGGACCUUCACAUUCAAAAUGCUGCUAGGAUGAUCUUUCUACUAUCCAUUCUCGAGACAAUAAUGGUUUCAAAGGGGAGGGUAACGUUAUAAUUGUCAUACAUGUACUAGUAAAUAGAAAAUUGAAUUCUAAUCUUUAGAUAUCAAUCAGGUAAUACAAGAAUACUUUCUUCCUAAAUUCUCUCUUCCCCUUAAUUCUCCUCCUCCUCCUACCAUUUGUUCCAUUUCUUCCCCCUUUUCCCAUUGCAUACACCCCCGCUUCUACUGUCCAGGAAUAAAGC